UACGUAGGGGGCAAGCGUUGUCCGGAAUCAUUGGGCGUAAAGCGCGCGUAGGCGGCUCGGUAAGUCCGCUGUGAAAGUCCAGGGCUCAACCCUGGAAAGCCGGUGGAUACUGUCGGGCUAGAGUCCGGAAGAGGCGAGUGGAAUUCCUGGUGUAGCGGUGGAAUGCGCAGAUAUCAGGAGGAACACCGAUGGCGAAGGCAGCUCGCUGGGACGGUACUGACGCUGAGGAGCGAAAGCGUGGGGAGCGAACAGG
rnacentral:rRNA from 1 species